rnacentral:rRNA from 1 species
GACGAACGCUGGCGGCGUGCUUAACACAUGCAAGUCGAACGGUAAGGCCCUUCGGGGUACACGAGUGGCGAACGGGUGAGUAACACGUGGGUGAUCUGCCCUGCACUUCGGGAUAAGCCUGGGAAACUGGGUCUAAUACCGGAUAGGACCACUGCCUGCAUGGGUGGUGGUGGAAAGCUUUUGCGGUGUGGGAUGGGCCCGCGGCCUAUCAGCUUGUUGGUGGGGUGAUGGCCUCCCAAGGCGACGACGGGUAGCCGGCCUGAGAGGGAGACCGGCCACGCUGGGACUGAGAGACGGCCCAGACGCAUACGUGAGGCAGCAGUGGGGAAUAUUGCACAAGGGGCGCAAGCCUGAUGCAGCGACGCCGCGUGAGGGAUAACGGCCUUCGGGUUGUAAACCUCUUUCAGCACCGACGAAGCGCAAGUGACGGUAGGUGCAGAAGAAGGACCGGCCAACUACGUGCCAGCCGCCGCAGUAA